rnacentral:rRNA from 1 species
GACGAACGAUGGCGGCGUGCCUAAUACAUGCAAGUCGAGCGGACGGAUGGGAGCUUGCUCCCAGACCGUCAGCGGCGGACGGGUGAGUAACACGUGGGCAACCUGCCUGUAAGACUGGGAUAACUCCGGGAAACCGGGGCUAAUACCGGAUAACUCUUUCCCUCACAUGAGGGAAAGCUGAAAGAUGGCAUCUCGCUAUCACUUACAGAUGGGCCCGCGGCGCAUUAGCUAGUUGGUGAGGUAACGGCUCACCAAGGCGACGAUGCGUAGCCGACCUGAGGGGGUGAUCGGCCACACUGGGACUGAGACACGGCCCAGACUCCUACGGGAGGCAGCAGUAGGGAAUCUUCCGCAAUGGACGAAAGUCUGACGGAGCAACGCCGCGUGAGUGAUGAAGGUUUUCGGAUCGUAAAACUCUGUUGUCAGGGAAGAACAAGUACCGGAGUAACUGCCGGUACCUUGACGGUACCUGACCAGAAAGCCACGGCUAACUACGUG